CCGUAGCGCCCGCACCACGACGAAGGCCCGGACCCCCGCACGGGGACCCGGGCCUUCGUCGUGGUGUCAGUGCUCGUA
rnacentral:pre_miRNA from 1 species